CAAUUGUUGUGAGUAGUGUAGCUGCAUGCUGUCGGCACGUGUUUGCCUGGAUACGGGAUACUGCUAAGAUUACGUGUCCGUGCCUGGGUUCGUGCCUGGGUCCGUUUUUGGUGAUAACUCGUGGCCCUGCGCCGUUUCCCAGUCUUCCGUUUUUGGCUGUAGUCGUCGCAGCUCCUCGUGCUAGAUCCGUAAUUAUUCUCUCUCUCGUGGUUUCUGCCUUUUUAGUACUCUUGUCGUUUCACCCUGUACCUUUCCUUUGUCCCCUUAUCCGUAAUAAGAGGCCAAGUAAGAAUACGUGUUUACCCGAACAUUCAAGGUGCUCUGUGUUGACUGGUCACGGGGGGCUCUGUCUGACUACAUUUGGCGCCCAAUUACGGCUCGAACCCUCGUCAAGUUCUCUUCUCUACCAUACCGUCUACGAUGCAACGUUUCUAUUAUGAACCAAUGCCGGUCACUCUUCAGCUCCUGUUCGAGUAAGUACCGUUUUUUUUUUACUAUUCCGAGUUUUGUUGCUGUUUGUUUUUUGCGCCGUUGUGCUGCUUCGUUCUGCGUCGUUCCUCUCUCUGUUCGCCACGCCGCCGGUCUUAUCUUCCUGUGCGUUGCGGUGUGUAUCCAUGCGUGGCUCCUUGUCCUGUGGCUGUAGUGUCCUGUCUGGUGUGUGCCCUGUUCGGUACUCCCACUCAGCUUUAGUGUGGCGUUUUGGGUUUGUGGGGUUGUAUAGUUUUCCACGUGGCUGUGACAUUCAUCGUUCGAACCUGCUACACUGUUUUUCUGUUUUUCCAAAAAAAUUCAUUGUACACUGUUGUAGCAUACGGCACGUAUCUUGUUUACUCCGGUGUUCUCAGUUAGGAUUUUGAAAAUGACUACGAGUGGCAGUGCUAGCUCUGGUUCGGGUUUGUUGUCUGUGACGAUUAGUGAGCCCACUAAAUGGCUGAUGCCCAAACCAUUUGGGGGUACCUCUACGGAGGACCUCCAAGCUUUUUUUACCGAUUUUGAAAUGUGUCUCGAGGCGAAUGGUUUUGUACAUGUCCCGACUGGGAACCAAGACACUGUUGAUACAACCAGUCGUAGCAAGAUGACCUCUAUGGCGGUGAUCAUGCUGAAUAAAAGCUUAGUCGGAUCGGCCGCAUUAAUGUUGCAGUCGAUGAGUGCGGCCGAUCGAAAAUCUCGUGCUGAAAUCGAGCAGGCCCUGAAUGCGCGUUUCGGUGAUUCAGGCAAAGAGCUGUUGCGACAGGUAGAACUGCAGGCUCGGAAGCGGAAACCGGGUGAAUCACUCACAGAGCUGGCUGACGCCCUGCAGGUGUUAGUGUCGAAAGCCUACCCGGACGCGCCUGCCCAAAUUGCGAAUGUAGUAGCUGUCCGGUCCUUUUUGGAUGCGCUGCCACCAGAUUUUGCACGUCGCAUUGGUGACCAUGAGCCGGCGAAUCUCAUGGCCGCCACCCGCAAGGCAGUUGUGCUCGAGACGCGAGAUAAACUUCAGCAGGAUACCGUAGUGGUAGCCCAGGCAAGCGCGAAGCCAACAGGGGACACUCGUCUCUCCAAAUUAGAACAGCUUAGUGCCACGCAGAGCAAACUUUUAGCGAAAAUAGCAGAGAGGCUCGAGAAAUUGGAGACGUCGUCCCAGAGGCCUCCAGUCCGCCAGGCUCGGUCCGAAGUCACGUGUUUUGCUUGUGGGGAGUUGGGCCACUUCUCAUGUUUUUGCCCCAACAAGUCUAGUGCGCAAAAGAGUGAGAAACGUGAUUCGCAGAAAUCUUUAAACGAGUAAGGGCGUCCGGAGAGGGUCUUCCGGUCGCCCCUGCCCAUUGUCCUGCGCAUGUUGUGGGGAGUGACCCUGUCCAGCCCGCCCUGGAUACCGAUUCUGAGGCUGUGGUUGGCAGAGCGCUCCCAAUCUUUGUUGAUGAUGAUGAUGAUGUACCCAAUGUUUGUUCGGAAUAUGUGGAUGCUGUGGAUGUGGUGUGUGCUAUUUGUGCAUUCCAUCACACUCCGGCGGAGUCCCACUUUUGUACUCCACCUGGUGUUCCGCUGCCUCCUCCCCUGCCACCGCCGAUCGAGACCUCAGAUUCCCUCCCGGUGGGUAGUGUUACGCCUGUCAGCGAGGGUGUGGCGGUCCACAUUAACAGCGCCGGCACCAGUCUCUAUGCUGCAGCCCGGUCUGGUAUCUCGGUAGGGCAGCUCCUGCCGGUGGAGGACCCUCGGUCGGCGGCCCGGAUGGCGGGAGUGCAGGUGGCGGAUCAGACAUCGAAUGACCGCAUGCAACCCUCAUCGAGCGCUAACACCGCUGCUCUUUUCGACCUGUCUCACUUCAAUGGCACGGAGGACGAACGCCAACGUUUGGUCAGUUCGUUAUGUGCAUUCGACGAUAUUUUUGCGAAAGAUGCAUGUGAAGUGGGAGAAACCCCUAUUGUGGAACAUACUAUUGAUACAGGGGAUUCCUACCCAAUUAGGCAGGGUCCCAGACGAUUACCACCCGAUAGGAUUCAAAUAGUCUCAGAGCAAAUUGAUAGCAUGUUAGAAAAUGGGAUAAUUGAGCCCAGCACUUCACCGUGGGCGAGUCCUAUUGUUCUAGUUCGUAAGCCUGAUGGUUCUUUCCGGUUUUGUGUUGACUACCGUAAACUUAAUGAUGUAACUCGGAAAGAUGCAUACCCUCUCCCACGCAUUGAUGCGACACUGGAUAGUUUGGGGGGGGGGGGGCUCAGUUCUUUAGCACUCUAGACUUGCAGUCAGGUUACUGGCAAGUUCCCGUGGCAGAAAGGGACAGAGAUAAGACGGCGUUCAUCACUCCUCAGGGACUCUACGAGUUUCGACGUAUGCCCUUUGGUUUGUGCAAUGCUCCCGCAACGUUUCAGAGAAUGAUGCAUGCCGUCCUCCGUGGCCUUUCUCCACUGUUUUGUUUGGUGUACCUAGACGAUGUUAUUGUGUUCAGUCGUACCUUUUCUGAGCAUCUCACUCGAUUGGAGGCUGUAUUUACAGCAUUACGUAAAGCUAACUUGAAGAUUAAACCGCGUAAAUGCAAGUUGAUCGUGCCUGAGGUAAAUUUUCUAGGACAUGUGGUGUCAAAGGAGGGUAUCGCAACGGAUCCCGAGAAGGUGCGUGCUGUCAAGGACUGGCGAACGCCUAGCUCGGACACUGCGCUGCGUGCUUUCCUGGGAUUCGCUUCGUACUACCGCCGAUUUAUUUGCCAGUUUGCUGAGAUAGCUAGCCCGCUGCACGGUCUGUUAUGUAAAAAUACUCCGUUUGUCUGGACAGAGGUCCACGAUGCUGCGUUUACAAAACUGCGCGAUGCCUUUUGUUCGGCACCAGUGCUAGCUUUUCCUGAUUUCGAUUUACCAUUCGUUGUCGAUGCAGACGCUUGUUGUGCAGGGUUAGGCGCGGUUCUCUCGCAAGUAGUCAACGAGGUAGAACGUCCGGUUGCCUACAUCAGUCGAUCAUGUACGCCAGCAGAGCGAAAUUAUCCGAUCACUCGGUUGGAGUUAUUAAGUGUAGUCUGGGCCUGUCGGACGUUUCGGCCAUAUCUCCUGUCGCGUCCUUUUCUGUUGCGUACUGACCAUGCUAGUUUGCGGUGGCUGCUGAAUUUCAAAAAUCCAUCUGGCCAAGUCGCGCGUUGGCUCGGUACUUUAGCUGAAUUCCACUAUACUGUCGAACAUCGACCAGGUCGUCUCCAUGGCAAUGCAGAUGGUUUAAGUAGGCUACAAGAGGGCGAUACUAGUGUGAAUGUAGUUGCCAUUCCGUCAACUGGUACUGACGAGUUACGCAAAGCAGUAGCUAACGACAAAGAAUUGCAGGUCGUUUUGUCUCGCCUCACCUCACAGUCCUCUGCGAAACCAGGAGACAGUCCCGCAGUCCGGAGUCUGUUGGCACAGGCCGACGUUCUCAGAGUCGAAAAUGGUCUGCUUUAUCGUGCGUCCGUUCCCGAGAACGAUACGCGUCAAUUAGUUGUCCCACAAAGUGAGCGAGACCGAUUUUUGGUAGAAGCGCAUGCCAGUCGUACGGCAGCCCAUUUUGGCCAGGACCGCACCCUUGCCCGUUUGCGAGAGGUUGCCUACUGGCCGGGCAUGGCAAAAGAUGUUGCUUUGUUUUGUGCUACUUGUGAAAUGUGUGAGCGUAGUAAGAACCCGCCGCGUAAGUCUAGGGCCCCCCUAGGUACUGUACGUGCGGGGUCCCCAUUUGAAAUAUUAGCGAUGGAUAUCAUGGGACCACUUCCCCUAACUCCCCGAGGGAACCAGUAUAUUUUGGUAGUGGCAGACUAUUUUUCAAAAUGGGUGGAAAUCAUUGCAAUUUCAAAUAUGCGGGCAGAAACGGUUGCAAACCAGUUAGUAGACCGGGUGUUCACCCGUUAUGGUGUGCCCGAGCAAUUGCACUCAGAUCAGGGAGCGAAUUUUGAAAGUAAAUUGGUGGCUGAGUUGUGUAGUUUGUUAGGCAUUAACAAAACUCGUACUACUCCAUACCGGCCCCAGUCGGAUGGUAUGGUCGAGCGGGCCAAUCGCACCAUUCAAGUUGCGCUGCGUGCGUUUUGUGCUCCCGACCAGUCCGACUGGGAUCGGCACCUGUCGUUAGUGCAGCUCGCUUACAACACUGGGGUGCACCGGGCUACAGGGUUUACUCCCCACUUUGUUCUGUUUGGCAGGGAGGCCCGUUUACCGUUAGAUUUAAUGGUUCCCACUCCCGAUGCUAGGCCAGAAAGUAAUAUUCCCGUGUAUGUAGCUAGUCUGCGUGAAUCUCUAGCUCGGGCUUUCUCUGUUGUGCGUGAAAGAUUGGAUGUGGCGCACUCUGUUGUAAAGUUAAACUACGACAAAAAGGCCUCCGAGCAUGGUUUGAAAGUGGGGGAUUAUGUCUGGCUCCAUUCGGUUCCCCCUCCCGGGACUAGCCCAAAAUUGCAUAGGCCGUGGACUGGUCCGUGGCAGAUCGAGCGAGUUCGUGGUGUGGUGUGCAUGGUUGUGAGAGUGGGACCGCUGCCCUCGGCUCGACAUGCCCGCCAUUUAACAGUACAUGCAGAUCGACUAAGGUUAGUAAAGGGUCGGGUGGUGCUACCUCCAGUAAAAGAGGUGACUGAAAUCGAGCCAGAGAGGGAGGUAGUACAGGCGUCCCUGGGUGGCCCCCCUUGUUUCCUUCCAGCCCCGUUUGGAAUUAGUGACGCUGUACCUCCUGCCCCGGCACAGGAGCAGGAUGCGCGGAGACCUGGCCUCCGCCAAUUGACCAAAGGCCCUGGCCACUAUAGGGCUAUGUUAAGAGGGUAGUUAGUGUAGCUUGUUUGUGUACUGUUAGAAUAAAUUUGUUGCCCUAUUGGCAACUGGCGCCCAAAAACAUGUUCUCGUAAUUUUGUAGGUAGCAGUUUUGUUGAUGUUCGGAACCGCUGCCAGUUGUUUGCUCUCUGUGUUUUCUUUUUCUGUUAAGUUUGCGCGAGUAUGCCGAUCCGUCUCAGAUUCACUUCAUAGCUACUGGCCGCGAAUGCGGCCAAUCGUCUGUUGUAACAUCACCACCCGCACCCACUCCCGCAACAUCACCACCCACUCCCGCAACAUCACCACCCACUCCCGCAACAUCACCACCCACUCCCGCAACACCACCACCUGUACCGUCGGCAGGCCACGACUCUCUCGCGGUGGGGUUCCGGCGUGUGCGUCGCCGCUCCCGCCGGGCUCGGCACCGCCGGCGAGUACCAGGGCGGAGGUCAGUAGAGGCCGUCGCUUCCCGUCCGGCUUCUCCCCGCCCGGGAGUCAUGGUGGAUGCGACUGACGUAGUUUAUUUAGUGGAUAUACAUGUUUCUAAUGAUCUCGAGUAAUUGCGCAUUGUAUUAUUAUUUAGGCCUCGGGGCGGUUGGGACGGUGAGGACAUGGGUAUUGGUGUUGUUCAGAUAAUUUAAGAGCCAAGGGCCAUACACAGGUUGAACAACUUGCUUAAUGUCGACAUCAGUGUGGACGGUUAUUUUGCAGGGUUUAGUUUAAGGGGAUACGCCACACUGGUGCCGUCGUUAAGUAUAAACCCACCUGGCCCAUUAGUCACUUGCUCAACCGUUCCCUUUUUCACCCCUCCCCUUCUUAAAGAUUUGUUGCUUUGUAAGUCUCAGGAGAGACUUAAGUAUCUUAGGACGGAGUAAUGUUGUGAGUAGUGUAGCUGCAUGCUGUCGGCACGUGUUUGCCUGGAUACGGGAUACUGCUAAGAUUACGUGUCCGUGCCUGGGUUCGUGCCUGGGUCCGUUUUUGGUGAUAACUCGUGGCCCUGCGCCGUUUCCCAGUCUUCCGUUUUUGGCUGUAGUCGUCGCAGCUCCUCGUGCUAGAUCCGUAAUUAUUCUCUCUCUCGUGGUUUCUGCCUUUUUAGUACUCUUGUCGUUUCACCCUGUACCUUUCCUUUGUCCCCUUAUCCGUAAUAAGAGGCCAAGUAAGAAUACGUGUUUACCCGAA